UCUGCUGUCUAAAUUUGUUACAGGUUAGCCACCUGUGGCUGGAAAUUCCCAGUACAUAUCACCAGCGGAUGUAGCGGGAUUUUGGCGAGCUGUGGAGACGGAAUGGUUUUGGUAUUUGUUCUAAGGUUCUACACCUGCAUUCGCCUGGAGGGAUUAAUGAAAAACACGAGUUAGGACAGCUGAUGUGCAGCCCAAGAUUUCAAACUAGGAUAUCUGGAGUAUGAAACGGAGGUUCUUAGAAAUCAGACGGGAAGACAAAAUAUUUUGGACUGAGAAGUAGCAAGCAUUUCCGGAAUUUAGUCUCCUGACUUCCUCACUGAGCAGCUGAACUGCCAGUGGAGACAUUGUCGAGACUCACGGCCUAUGCGACCAACAUGCGAAAAGUCUCCUUAAGAAGUAAUGAAAUAAAAUUGGUAAAAUAGAGAACUUUAGAAUAGACAUACAGCAAUGAAAGAAAACUUUAGCAGAGCAACAAAUCCAGAAAAAACAGACCAAGCAAUGGGUGAGGGGUCUGAGUCUAAAAUAAUAUUAAAUGUUUCUAGACACAGAGAAGAAUAGCAAAGUAAGAAAGUUCCACCUACACCAUCAGUCAAGAUCUAUCAUAAUUUCCUUUCUAGCACCCGUGAAGAAUUAUAAAACUGGCAAAACUACAUAUUGAGAAACUUUGUGAUCUGCAUUUAACUUUUAGGUUAUGUAACUCAAGGAGGUUAUGUUGGACUCAUCAGCUGAUUUGCUGUAGUAGAACAAUUUUGGAAUGUAAACCUAUUAGAAAAUGUAACAUUAGAAGAAUGAGACAUAGGUGAAAGGAUAAUAUUAAAUUGUUUUUUUAGGGAAGAAUGUUUUGAAAAUGUAAAGUGGAUUGAAAUUGCUCAGGUAAGGGUACAUUGAGAAACUUCAAUGUUUGUAGCAUUGAAUCUCUGGGGACUUUGUUAUUGGAAAGUUGGUUGAUUAUUAUAUUGGGCAUUGCCAAUCACGUUUGGUUUCUUCAGACAUCACAUUUCAGCCAGACCCAACUAUGACUAUGCUUGAAGCUUCGAUAUUAACCAAAUAGGUUAUACAAUGAAGAGGAAUGAAUAAUAAUGUCAAAUAACUGGAGCGAAACAGAUCUUAUAAGAUGUAUGAUCUGAUGCUUUCAUGGCGACUAAGUAUAGUGAAUUCUUCUCGGGCUACCAGCUGUGAAAUGCCGGUAGCCCUAGAAGAAUUCAUUAUACAUUUUUUAACAGAUGUCAGUAGCAGCCAGUGCAGAAAUAAUUAAUGGCAUGAUUAAGCAGGUUAAUGACAUUGUAUUGCUAUCAAUAGAGUUUACUAUUUAUGUAAAUAAUUCCCAUAUAAAUGUUUUUAGUAUUCGUCUGUCAAAAUGCUGUUGAUUUGUUGACUUCCUUCUUGUAUAGUUCACCAAGUUUGUGAUAAAAUCAUCAAGGAGAGUGAGAUGGG